rnacentral:misc_RNA from 1 species
GAAAUGCGAUACGUAAUGUGAAUUGCAGAAUUCAGUGAAUCAUCGAGUCUUUGAACGCACAUUGCGCCCCCUGGUAUUCCGGGGGGCAUGCCUGUCCGAGCGUCAUUGCUGCCCUCAAGCACGGCUUGUGUGUUGGGCCCCCGGCCCCCCCCAAGGGGACGGGCCCGAAAGGCAGCGGCGGCACCGUGUCCGGUCCUCGAGCGUAUGGGAAGCAACUUUUUGUCACCCGCUCCUGUAGGUCCGGCCGGCGGCCUGCCCAACCCCAACCUUUUUUUCAACCAGGUUGACCUCGGAUCAGGUAGGGAUACCCGCUGAACUUAAGC